UGUAAUAAGGGGGAUAUCCGACCUCCUCAACCAGUCACAUGCAGCAGGCUGUAUCUUCUCUGCUUGUGGAGCGACUAGAGGAUCCCAGACAUGAAGGGCAGGAGAACGACUGGAAAGUGACUAUGAUGGACUCUCCUUAUAAAAGUAAGGACCUGUUCACACCACGUCUGAGCCUCCAGCAGAACAUAUGUGCGGAGGGUUUCCUGAUAUCUCACUC